AAGUGCUGAAAGCAUCUAAGCACGAAACUUGCCCCGAGAUGAGUUCUCCCUGACUCCUUGAGAGUCCUGAAGGAACGUUGAAGACGACGACGUUGAUAGGUCGGGUGUGUAAGCGUAGCGAUACGUUGAGCUAACCGAUACUAAUGAACCGUGAGGCUUAACCUUACAACGCCGAAGCUGUU
rnacentral:rRNA from 1 species